CCUACGGGAGGCAGCAGUGAGGAAUAUUGGUCAAUGGACGCAAGUCUGAACCAGCCAAGUCGCGUGCAGGAAGACGGCCCUAUGAGUUGUAAACUGCUUUUGUACGAGAGUAAACGGAUCCACGUGUAUGUGUCUGAAAGUAUCGUACGAAUAAGGAUCGGCUAACUCCGUGCCAGCAGCCGCGGUAAUACGGAGGAUUCCAGCGUUAUCCGGAUUUAUUGGGUUUAAAGGGGGCGUAGGUGGUCGGAUAAGUUAGAGGUGAAAUCUUGAGGCUCAACUUCGGAAUUGCCGUUGAAACUGUUCGUCUUGAGAGUAGUAGAGGUAGGCGGAAUGCGUGGUGUAGCGGUGAAAUGCUUAGAGAUCACGCAGAACUCCGAUUGCGAAGGCAGCUUACCGGCCUACAACUGACGCUGAGGCACGAAAGCGUGGGGAUCGAACAGGAUUAGAUACCCCUGUAGUC
rnacentral:rRNA from 1 species